rnacentral:rRNA from 1 species
AAUGUUGAAAAAUUAGCGGAUGACCUGUGGCUGGGGGUGAAAGGCCAAUCAAACCGGGAGAUAGCUGGUUCUCCCCGAAAGCUAUUUAGGUAGCGCCUCGUGAAUUCAUCUCCGGGGGUAGAGCACUGUUUCGGCCAGGGGGCCAUCCCGGCUUACCAAUCCGAUGCAAACUGCGAAUACCGGAGAAUGUUAUCACGGGAGACACACGGCGGGUGCUAACGUCCGUCGUGAAGAGGGAAACAACCCAGACCGCCAGCUAAGGUCCCAAAGUCAUGGUUAAGUGGGAAACGAUGUGGGAAGGCCCAGACAGCCAGGAUGUUGGCUUAGAAGCAGCCAUCAUUUAAAGAAAGCGUAAUAGCUCACUGGUCGAGUCGGCCUGCGCGGAAGAUGUAACGGGGCUAAACCAUGCACCGAAGCUGCGGCAGCGAACGUAUCACCCAAGACAACUUUACACAGUUGACGCCUGACGGAGCGAAGCGACGUCAAAGCGUUUUACAACGUCGAGUUGGCUUAGGGAUACGUUCGUUGGGUAGGGGAGCGUUCUGUAAGCCGUUGAAGGUGUGUCGUGAGGCAUGCUGGAGGUAUCAGAAGUGCGAAUGCUGACAUAAGUAACGAUAAAGCGGGUGAAAAGCCCGCUCGCCGGAAGACCAAGGGUUCCUGUCCAACGUUAAUCGGGGCAGGGUGAGUCGACCCCUAAGGCGAGGCCGAAAGGCGUAGUCGAUGGGAAACGGGUUAAUAUUCCCGUACUUGGUGUUACUGCGAAGGGGGGACGGAGAAGGCUAUGUUGGCCGGGCGACGGUUGUCCCGGUUUAAGCGUGUAGGUGUGUGUUCCAGGUAAAUCCGGUUCACUUUAACACUGAGGCGUGAUGACGAGGCACUACGGUGCUGAAGCAACAAAUGCCCUGCUUCCAGGAAAAGCCUCUAAGCCUCAGGUAACAUCAAAUCGUACCCCAAACCGACACAGGUGGUCAGGUAGAGAAUACCAAGGCGCUUGAGAGAACUCGGGUGAAGGAACUAGGCAAAAUGGUGCCGUAACUUCGGGAGAAGGCACGCUGACACGUAGGUGAAGUGGUUUACCCAUGGAGCUGAAGUCAGUCGAAGAUACCAGCUGGCUGCAACUGUUUAUUAAAAACACAGCACUGUGCAAACACGAAAGUGGACGUAUACGGUGUGACGCCUGCCCGGUGCCGGAAGGUUAAUUGAUGGGGUCAGCGCAAGCGAAGCUCCUGAUCGAAGCCCCGGUAAACGGCGGCCGUAACUAUAACGGUCCUAAGGUAGCGAAAUUCCUUGUCGGGUAAGUUCCGACCUGCACGAAUGGCGUAAUGAUGGCCAGGCUGUCUCCACCCGGGACUCAGUGAAAUUGAACUCGCUGUGAAGAUGCAGUGUACCCGCGGCAAGACGGAAAGACCCCGUGAACCUUUACUAUAGCUUGACACUGAACACUGGUCCUUGAUGUGCAGGAUAGGUGGGAGGCUUUGAAGUGUGGACGCCAGUCUGCAUGGAGCCAUCCUUGAAAUACCACCCUUUAAUGGCUGGUGUUCUAACGUGGGCCCGUGAACCGGGUUGCGGACAGUGUCUGGUGGGUAGUUUGACUGGGGCGGUCUCCUCCUAAAGAGUAACGGAGGAGCACGAAGGUUGGCUAAUCCUGGUCGGACAUCAGGAGGUUAGUGCAAUGGCAUAAGCCAGCUUGACUGCGAGCGUGACGGCGCGAGCAGGUGCGAAAGCAGGUCAUAGUGAUCCGGUGGUUCUGAAUGGAAGGGCCAUCGCUCAACGGAUAAAAGGUACUCCGGGGAUAACAGGCUGAUACCGCCCAAGAGUUCAUAUCGACGGCGGUGUUUGGCACCUCGAUGUCGGCUCAUCACAUCCUGGGGCUGAAGUAGGUCCCAAGGGUAUGGCUGUUCGCCAUUUAAAGUGGUACGCGAGCUGGGUUUAGAACGUCGUGAGACAGUUCGGUCCCUAUCUGCCGUGGGCGCUGGAAGAUUGAGGGGGGCUGCUCCUAGUACGAGAGGACCGGAGUGGACGCAUCACUGGUGUUCGGGUUGUCAUGCCAAUGGCACUGCCCGGUAGCUACAUGCGGAAGAGAUAAGUGCUGAAAGCAUCUAAGCACGAAACUUGCCCCGAGAUGAAUCUUCCCUGAGCCUUUAAGGCUCCUGAAGGAACGUUGAAGACGACGACGUUGAUAGGCCGGGUGUGUAAGCGCAGCGAUGCGUUGAGCUAACCGGUACUAAUGAACCGUGAGGCUUAACCUUACA